rnacentral:rRNA from 1 species
AUUGAACGCUGGCGGCAUGCCUUACACAUGCAAGUCGAACGGCAGCGGGGACUUCGGUCCGCCGGCGAGUGGCGAACGGGUGAGUAAUGUAUCGGAACGUACCAUUCAGUGGGGGAUAACUAUCCGAAAGGAUAGCUAAUACCGCAUAUUCUGUGAGCAGGAAAGCAGGGGAUCGCAAGACCUUGCGCUGACUGAGCGGCCGAUAUCAGAUUAGCUAGUUGGUGAGGUAACGGCUCACCAAGGCUACGAUCUGUAGCGGGUCUGAGAGGAUGAUCCGCCACACUGGGACCGAGACACGGCCCAGACUCCUACGGGAAGCAGCAGUGGGGAAUUUUGGACAAUGGGCGCAAGCCUGAUCCAGCCAUGCCGCGUGAGUGAAGAAGGCCUUCGGGUUGUAAAGCUCUUUCGGCCGGGAAGAAAUCGCAUCAGCUAAUACCUGGUGUGGAUGACGGUACCGGAAUAAGAAGCACCGGCUAACUACGUGCCAGCCGCCGCGGUAAGAC